GGGCCCCUGUGAUAUCCAGCACUGGGCUCUGAUCUCUCGUGAGGACAUGGUGCCCCCCCCCCCCCAGGACCUUUGACACCUGGGGGUCUGAGGGGCUC